CUUGGAAAGCUGCAUCUUCGGCCGACGUUUCUUCCAUCGCCUAUUUUUCCUUGGAAGGCAUCGACAUAUGCAUCGACAUAUGUGACGCACGGAUCAUCACCGCUUCUUCUGGACAAUGUCCGAUACCAGUCAACGAACCCUGGAACGUCACUGUGCUAAACUACAGCCUACAAAUGCAACCGCAUCUCAGUGUGUCUCUGGGGCGUGGCACCGGUUCAACCAUGACUGCGUCGCUCACGCGGAUGCUUUUGCUUGUGCAGGUGCUCCUCACUUCAGUUUCCUGCCAUUGCUUUGCAAGUGGAUAGGAUAAAUCUUGGAAAGCUGCAUCUUCGGCCGACGUUUCUUCCAUCGCCUAUUUUUCCUUGGAAGGCAUCGACAUAUGCAUCGACAUAUGUGACGCACGGAUCAUCACCGCUUCUUCUGGACAAUGUCCGAUACCAGUCAACGAACCCUGGAACGUCACUGUGCUAAACUACAGCCUACAAAUGCAACCGCAUCUCAGUGUGUCUCUGGGGCGUGGCACCGGUUCAACCAUGACUGCGUCGCUCACGCGGAUGCUUUUGCUUGUGCAGGUUAGUCUGAACGCCGCAUGCGGUACUCAUUACCUUUUUAUUCUGCCGGUUCCACCCCCUGUGCUUUUCUAUAGUGUAAGGGCCCAUACUUGUCAUUCGCGACCCAUUUAUUGUAGACGCUAUCGGUUCAACCUAUUGCGCCGUUUUGCAUUUUACUUCUUAUUGUUGCUGAUAUGCGGGGAUGUUGAGACUAACCCCGGUCCCGACGAUACUCUUCUGAAACAGCUA